UGAUAGGACCAUGGUCACUUGGAAACUAC
rnacentral:piRNA from 1 species